GACGAACGCUGGCGGCGUGCCUAAUACAUGCAAGUAGAACGCACAGUUUAUACCGUAGCUUGCUACACCAUACACUGUGAGGUGCGAACGGGGGAGUCACGCGUAGGUAACCUUCCGGGUAGCGGGGGGUAACUAAUGGAAACGAUAGCUAACACCGCAUAAUAUUAAUUAUUCCAUGAUAAUUGAUUGAAAGCUGCAAUUGCAGCACUACCAGAUGGACCUGCGUUGUAUUAGCUAGUAGGUGAGGUAACGGGUCACCUAGGCGAAGAUACAUAGCCGACCUUGGAGGGUGAUCGGCCACAAUGGGACUGGGAAACGGCUCAGACUCCUACGGGAGGCAGCAGUAGGGAAUUAUCGGAAAUGGAGGAAAGUCUGACCGAGCAACGACGGGGGAGUGAAGGAGGGUUUCGGAUUGUAAAGCUCUGUUGUAAGAGAAGGAAGGGCGUGAGAGUGAAAAGUUCACGUUGUGACGGUACCUUACGAGAAAGGGCCGGCUAACUACGUG
rnacentral:rRNA from 1 species